GAACAAGGCCAUGGCUGCUCACCUAGAGGCUCUUGGAUACACUUCCCAAAUGCAGUUCCAGUUUUAGGCAUGUUGUGGAGCAUUGUCAUUCUCUAACCAUUGUGGUGUUAGUUUCAGACAAUAAGGACACAACAAAAUUCAGGUUCUUCUUAUAGGUUGAAGAGGUCUUCCUAAUUUUCAAUUCAUCAUAGUUGUGAUUGAUAAGAAAUGAAUGUUUACCAUUGAAACUGCAGGUGACAGGCACCCUUCCUUCUUUAUUGUUAUUUAAGACAUUGUUGCCAACAUUUAGAGCUAGAUUUCUCUAGUCUUGGCCUAUACAAACUUUGAGUUGAUAAAAAUAUUUACUUUCUUAGAUUCAGUAGUUGUUUUUCAUAAAUUCAUGAGCUAUAGGUGUAAGUGGAGUUUGUUAAUCUAAAAUCAAGAGUAGAAAUAAUCAUAAGCUAUAGAUUUGAAUAUUUAGUAUAGAUUUGAAAUGGGAUAAGAUUUAUGAGCUUUGCCUUUACAUGUUCAUGGUGACACUUUCUUCUUGACAAGUUAUUUGCUCUUAUAUUGAGAGCCUUUCUAAUUUGAUUGCAAGUAGUAGAUGUUAAUGGUUGGUUAUUGAAGUCAGAGAGUUGAAUGUUCCUGUAUGCUAAAUGAAUAUAUAGUAAAAAAAAAUAAAUUAAAAAUAACUAAUCAAUAGAAUUUAUAAAAAAAUGUUACAAAAUAAAAAUAAAGUAAAAAAGAAAAACUCAUAAGCCUAAAAUGUUGCUUCUCGCUCUCUCAUCAGUCAUCGUUGUUGCCCCCUUUGCUUUCUUACUCCAUUUUCCCAACAGAAAUGAUUGCACAUGUCCUUUAAAUUAAAAUCAAACAAUUUAAUUUAUGAAAUUUUAUUUUAAAAUUAUCGAGGCAAAGUUUUCGUUCAUCUUGUAAUUAAUUGAAACGAAUUUAAGUUUGAAGAUUAGCUUGUAAUAAACAUGCAGUAUAUAGCUUAAUUUUAUAGCAAGUUAGAAUUUAGAUUGAUUUUAUGCUCAUCUCCUUUUUCUUUUUGUUACUUUAACGAGUUAUCAAUUAAAACAAGUUGCAUUGUUAUGAUUUUGCAUUUUGACUAAUGCUUAAAUUGAGCACAACUUUCUCCGGGAAAUAAAAAUAAUAACAACAAUAAUUUUAUAUUUUCAGGCCACGAUACCAUUCGUCUAUGCCCCGCAUUUAUAGCAAGAGAAACGGUAAUCCUUCUAGUUUAGACUUGCCAUCGGUACUCGUAGGGUCCGCCACUGGCUGAUUUUAUUUGAAAUCAACUCAAAAUCGAUGGUUUUGAUUCACUAGAGUAUGUCUGAACUAGCCCCUAAAGAUCUUCCUCAGUUUUUCUGCCUCAGCUCAAUUCAAUACGAUUUUUAUCAAACCUAAUGUUCUCAACUUUUUCGAAAUUUUUAUUUUUAAAAUUAAAAAAUGCAAUUUUGAUCGGAACUGAGUCAGCCAAUCCGAUCACUUGAAUUCUAAUCGAGUUCCAGCCCAAUUUAAAUUGGUCCGAUUCUAAUUUUAUUUUAACGGAGACCCUAGCCAAAAAAGAAAAAGCAGCACCUGCAUUUCAAAAAGUUACCAAUCAACAAAACUUCUGACAUCGAAUUACAAGGCCACUUCGGCUCCUAAGUUGGAAAGGCAGAUGGAAGAAAUCUAAUUCGAGUGAUGAUACAGUGAAACCAACUGAAAUCAAGGGGGAGAAAAUUUGAAAAGAUGCUCGUUAACAAGAAUAGUAAUAAUUCCAAUAAAUUAUAUCCAGUAAGCUCAUCGCCUUCGCAUUCCCCGUCCACGGCCACGAAAAGCAGCUCCACGCCCUCUACCACCCAUAGCACUUGCAGCAGCUUCCCCCUGAGCACUUUCAGACUUAGGGUUCUUAACUGUCUCAUCCACACUCAAUACAAGACAUGCAGCCUCAGUAGCAGCAUUUAUAGCAUUGAUCUGUUACAAGAUUUCAAUCACCAAAGGGACCAUUAUAUAAAUACAAAUACAAAAGAUAAAUAAUGUAUCCAGUAUCAGCAUAUAUGACUGAAGAAUUAAAGAAAGACACCUUCACAACAGCUGGCUCCCAAACAAAAUUGGCAAAUGAAUCUGCAAUUCCACCAGUGUUGAUAUCCACUCCAAAAGGUGCACCCUCACCAGAUGGAAGUGCAUGCUUCUGUCUUAAUUUGUUCAGCACAUCAGUUGCAUCAAACCCAGCAUUAUCACAUAGCUGCCGUGGGAUAACCUCAAGGGCUUUUGCAUAAGAGUUAAUAAAUAGCUGAGACUUCCCAGCUAUUGUGCGAGCAUGCUGCCUCAAAUAUCGGCUUAUUUCCAUAUCGAUUGCGCCACCACCAGCAACAACAGUUGAGUUUUUCAAAGCUCUUCUAACAAUCAUGAUUGCAUCAUGUAAACUCCGCUCAGCUUCCUCAAUGAACUGAUCUGCUCCGCCACGAAGAACGAUAGUGGCAGUUCUUCCAGAAGGGCAUCCGCUGAAUAUGUUAAACCUCUCAUUUCCAACUUGCUUUUCCUCAAAAAUCUCACAAGUUCCAAGAACCUCAUCAAUUAUGUUGUUGACAGUUGUUUGCACGGUUCCACCACUUGCAGCUGCAACCCUUUGCAAAUCUUCUUCAGCUACACGUCCAGCACAGAAAAUAUCUCGAUCUGCAAAAUACUGAGUUGCCAAAUCUCCAAUAGCCAGACGUGAAAGAACCACUUUGGCCCCACUCUGUACACAUUUAUCCAAUUUUUCAUAAAUGAUAUUCCAUUCUGCAUCAACAAUUGACUGAUACUGUGAAGGGUCUGACAGCCUUAUCUCUGCAUUUUCUUUCUCAGACUUCAAUUCCAAUUCAAUGUUGAGUAGAAGUAUCUUUGGAUUUAAAAACUUCUUUGGUUGUUGUUCAAACCCCGCAUAUGAAAAUGUCUUUUUAAAGGCAACACCAUUCACUAGAAAUGAAUCUCGCAUGUUGCCACCAGGCACCUUCUUUAUUCCAAUCAUAUUUAGUCUAUCAUCAUUCCCAAUUGCAAUAACAGCAUCCACAACCAUCUGUGCAAAGAACUCUUUCUCCCCACCGAUAAGUUUUGAAGAGAGAGUUGUGGCAGCACAUUUAGCAAGUAAGCUUUUUUUUUCUUCUAGACUUUUGCCUUCUAUGCUUAUAGCUAGUUCUUUGAUUUUCUCAAUUGCCAAAUAGCAUGCAGUCCUAUAACUCCGUAUCAAAUUUUGAGGGUGGACUCCAUCCUCUACAAAAGGUUUGGCUUCCUUCAAAAACUCUGCUGCAAGCAAUACUACUGUAGUGGUUCCAUCACCAACCUCAGAGUCCUGAGACUUAGCGAUGUCGACAAGGAUCUUAGCAGCCGGAUGGACAAUAUCGAGCAACUUCAUAAUGGUAGCUCCGUCGUUGGAAAUGGUAACAGUGCCUUUGUCAUCGUGGAUGAGCUUGUCCAUACCCCUGGGUCCCAGCGUUGUCCUGACUACGUCGGCCACCGCCGUGCAAGCGUUGAUGUUGCUAACCAACUGAGCCUUCCCUUGCGACGUGUCCGUCCCUUCCUUUAAGAGUAUGAUCUGCGGUUGCAGCAUGGCUGCCAUUGUUGAAGAUUUGCAGAAAUGACGAAGAUUAGAUGAGAGAAAGAGGGGUUAGAGAGUAGGGAGCAGAUUUUUAGUAAGGAGAGAGGACGCUAGGGUUUUGUUUUUCAGCGAGUUUUCGAGAGGGUUCACCGGAUGACGUGGG
rnacentral:misc_RNA from 1 species